rnacentral:rRNA from 1 species
AGGCGAAAAGAACCCCGGCGAGGGGAGUGAAAAAGAACCUGAAACCGUGUACGUACAAGCAGUGGGAGCCUCUUAAUGGGGUGACUGCGUACCUUUUGUAUAAUGGGUCAGCGACUUAUAUUCUGUAGCAAGGUUAACCGAAUAGGGGAGCCGAAGGGAAACCGAGUCUUAACUGGGCGUUAAGUUGCAGGGUAUAGACCCGAAACCCGGUGAUCUAGCCAUGGGCAGGUUGAAGGUUGGGUAACACUAACUGGAGGACCGAACCGACUAAUGUUGAAAAAUUAGCGGAUGACUUGUGGCUGGGGGUGAAAGGCCAAUCAAACCGGGAGAUAGCUGGUUCUCCCCGAAAGCUAUUUAGGUAGCGCCUCGUGAAUUCAUCUCCGGGGGUAGAGCACUGUUUCGGCAAGGGGGUCAUCCCGACUUACCAACCCGAUGCAAACUGCGAAUACCGGAGAAUGUUAUCACGGGAGACACACGGCGGGUGCUAACGUCCGUCGUGAAGAGGGAAACAACCCAGACCGCCAGCUAAGGUCCCAAAGUCAUGGUUAAGUGGGAAACGAUGUGGGAAGGCCCAGACAGCCAGGAUGUUGGCUUAGAAGCAGCCAUCAUUUAAAGAAAGCGUAAUAGCUCACUGGUCGAGUCGGCCUGCGCGGAAGAUGUAACGGGGCUAAACCAUGCACCGAAGCUGCGGCAGCGACACUAUGUGUUGUUGGGUAGGGGAGCGUUCUGUAAGCCUGUGAAGGUGGCCUGUGAGGGUUGCUGGAGGUAUCAGAAGUGCGAAUGCUGACAUAAGUAACGAUAAAGCGGGUGAAAAGCCCGCUCGCCGGAAGACCAAGGGUUCCUGUCCAACGUUAAUCGGGGCAGGGUGAGUCGACCCCUAAGGCGAGGCCGAAAGGCGUAGUCGAUGGGAAACAGGUUAAUAUUCCUGUACUUGGUGUUACUGCGAAGGGGGGACGGAGAAGGCUAUGUUGGCCGGGCGACGGUUGUCCCGGUUUAAGCGUGUAGGCUGGUUUUCCAGGCAAAUCCGGAAAACCAAGGCUGAGGCGUGAUGACGAGGCACUACGGUGCUGAAGCGACAAAUGCCCUGCUUCCAGGAAAAGCCUCUAAGCAUCAGGUAACAUCAAAUCGUACCCCAAACCGACACAGGUGGUCAGGUAGAGAAUACCAAAGCGAUCGAGCGAAUCCUGGUCAAGGAACUCGGCAAAUCACUCCCGUUCCUUCGGUUUAAGGGAGACCCCCGAUGGUGAACACACUUGCUGUGGGAGCUUUUGGGGGUGGCACAGACCAGGGGGUAGCGACUGUUUACCAAAAACACAGGUGCAUGCGAAGGCGCAAGCCGCUGUAUAUGCACUGACGCCUGCCCGGUGCCGGAAGGUUAAGAGGAUCCGUCAGCCUUCGGGUGAAGCGGUGAAUUCAAGCCCCGGUAAACGGCGGUGGUAACUAUAACCAUCCUAAGGUAGCGAAAUUCCUUGUCGGGUAAGUUCCGACCUGCACGAAUGGCGUAACGACUUCCCCACUGUCUCGACCAGGAGCUCGGCGAAAUUGCAGUACGAGUAAAGAUGCUCGUUAAGCGCAGAAGGACGAAAAGACCCCGGGACCUUUACUAUACCUUGGUAUUGGCAUUCGGUGUGGAUUGUGUAGCAUAGGCGGGAGGCCGAGAGGCGCGGUCGCCAGAUCGCGCGGAGCCGUAAGGUGAAAUACCGCUCUGUUCGCAUUGGAUGUCUAACCUCGAACAGUCAUCCUGUUCAGGGACAGUGCCUGGCGGGUAGUUUAACUGGGGCGGUUGCCUCCCAAAGAGUAACGGAGGCGCCCAAAGGUCCGCUCAGCCCGGUUGGCAAUCGGGUGGCGAGUGCAAGUGCACAAGCGGGCUUGACUGCGAGGACGACGGUCCGAGCAGGGACGAAAGUCGGGACUAGUGAUCCGGUGCCGGUGUACGGACGCGGCAUCGCUCAACGGAUA